UAUCCCUGCUGACAAGGUGUUUUGGCGUCAGAGAACGCAACUUCUUUCUAUAUAACCCUUGUGUGAUGUGUUUUAUUUUGCUUCUCUCUCGUCUGCUGCAGUCUGGGAGUGAGCCCAGGCUCUCUCUCUCUCUCUCUCUCUCUCUCUCUCUCUCUCUCUCUCUCUCUCUCUCUCUCUCUGAGAGUGGGCCCGUGCCUCUCUCUGGCCUGCCAGGACGUGGGUGAGCCCGACAAGCUUGUUGUUGUUGUUGAAUAAAUAUACUUGUAUGCAACUCCGGAGUCCUUUUUUUUUUCAUUUCAGUUGUCUGCCACCCUUUCUGUUAAAAUGCUGUGGGUUUGCCAGGCUUGUGUAAGUAAUCUACACAGUCUGUGUUUUAAAUGCUGUGGGUGCUUGUGUGAGUAAUCUACACAGGCUGUGUUUUAAAGGAUGUGGGUGCUUGUGUUAGUAAUCUACACAGUCUGCACGCGUGCGUGUUUGUAACCGCCGCCGCCACGCCCCUUCCCCCUGCACACAUAUUCUGCCUAUAACACUUACAUAUGUGAAAUUAUCAGGGUGGAUAACUAACCGCCACCACCACACCCCUUCCCCCGCACACAUAUUCCGCCUGUAGCACUUGUCAGUGUAAUUUUUUCGCUGAAUAUGGGUCUACAUCAGUAUAUUUCAGGCAAUGCGACUUGGCUAUUCAGACUAUUUAGAUUGACAUAUUUUUCUUAUUUUAGACAUUUUUCACGAUAUUCAACAGUAAUCUGGAAAUGUGUUGAAAUAUCAAAGCGAAUUUAUAAAAAAAAAAAAAAGGCAAUGGUGAACUGAUCAACAUAGGCUCAUGUCGCGGACCCCCUACAAUGCCGUCGCGGACCACCAGGGGGCCGCGAACCCCCGGUUGAAAACCCAUGUUUUAAAUGCUGUGGGUGCUUGUGUUAGUAAUCUAGAUUCUACACAGUCUGUGUUUUAAAUGAGGUGGGUGCUUGUGUGAGUAAUCUACACAGUCUGUGUUUUAAAUGAGGUGGGUGCUUGUGUGAGUAAUCUACACAGUCUGUGUUUUAAAUGAGGUGGGUGCUUGUGUUAGUAAUCUACACAGUCUGUGUUUUAAAUGAGGUGGGUGCUUGUGUUAGUAAUCUACGGUCUGCUUUUCCAGCCUUCUGCCUGCCUGGGUGUUCUUGUUUUUGACAUCUGCCACACACCACAGCGACCAACGGCUACUACGCAUACGUUUCACAUUUACAGAUUAUGAACACACACCGGAGUUCUUUUGAAGCGUACACACUGAACAGACAGACAAAGGACAAUGAGGAGAAAUUCGCUGAAUUUGAUUUUUUUUUUUUUUUUAAUUAGAAUUGGGGACUCUAGUCUUCAAGAACAGAAUACGUGGGCAAAAGACAACUGCAACCAAAACACCAACAGCAGCUGUGGAUUGCAUGCGUUCCCUAUGCUGACAAACUUCCGUUUUAUCUAAAUGAAUGGUUACAAAAAAUAUAUUUUUUAUCAAUGGCCUAGGCUUGAGAUAAUGGUGUCAGGAUCACGGUAUGAAAUGUUCUCCAUCAGAACUCCUCACAGGGUAUCAUCCUUUGGACAGGAAUGUAUCCUAAUCAAGACCCAUGAACACAGAAGUAAAAUCAUAUUGUUACUUUUGGAGAAGUCUG
ensembl:lncRNA